rnacentral:misc_RNA from 1 species
CUUUUCUUCUCCCUCUCCCUUUCUUUCUCUCCACUUUCAUCUCAACCUUUCCUUCCUUACCCUUCCCUUUCCUUCUUCUCUCUGUAUGUUUUCUUAGCUCAAGUUCGCACAUGCCCUUUCUUCUCCUUAUUGUUUUUUUUUCAAAAAUUUUUUUUACUAUUAUUCCUGAAUAGAGUGGCACACAAGAACUCCAUCAUUACAUGUCCUUAACUCUCUAAUCUUGCUUCCUUUGUAUGUCCUAAAACAGAACACCCACCAUCAAGAGAUUUUCUUUUUCCCCAUUUUUCCAAGCAAAUUGCCACUACUUUCUUGAUUGUAUGUUCUGACUUCAAUUGUCCUUCUGGGUCCCAAACUUUUCUUAGAACCACCCUAAUUUUUCCUCUCUUGUUCAUUCUCAUGGAAAAGGAAAAGCUCUUUUUGAAUGAGGGAGCCAACAGCACAGCAGCAGUGCCCAUUUGGAAUCCUUGCAGUUUUGGAAUGGAAAUGCAAUCCAAUAAGCUUAAUUGUUGCUCAGACCAACUUCCCAAUUGCUUUUUCAAUCCCAAUUGGGACAGCUCAAUGGAUCAGAGCGAUCCCUUUGCGUCUGCUUUGAGCUCCAUUGUCUCUUCUCCUGUAACAACAUCAAAUGCCAUUCCUUCUAGUGGUGGUGUUGGUGACCCUGUUAUGAUUAGAGAACUCAUUGGAAGAUUAGGAAACAUUUGUAAUUCUGGGGAGACUUCUUAUAUUAACAAUAACAGUAGUACUAAUACUUCAUGUUAUAGUACCCCUCUGAAUUCCCCUCCAAAACUGAAUAUUUCAAUCAUGGACUCACAGAUCAUGGGGAAUCUGCCAAUUCUUGGAAAUGGUAUUCCAGACCAUCCAAGUUUAGCACCAUUUCUUGCUGACCCUGGAUUUGCAGAGAGGGCUGCUAGGUAUUCCUGCUUUGGUAGCAGGAAUCUGGCAUCGAAUGAAUCUGAAUUGUCUCAUAGGUUGAUGCCCAGACUUGAACCAGGUAAGCUCCAGAGAGUUUCCAGUAAUCCCUCAGAGAAGGCCACUGGACCUCAGGCGAAUGUCAAUGUUGAUGGGAAUUCAAAUUCUGAUAAGAAAUUCAGUAGGUUGUCGAGGUCCUCAACACCAGAGAAUGCAGAAUUUGGAGAUUCAAGAGACGAAUCUUCUGUUUCUGAGCAGAUCCCAGGUGGGAAAUUGAGCAUGAAAGGCCUGAAUGAUUCCAAUUCAAGGAAAAGGAAAGCAAUUACCAAGGGAAAAGCCAAAGAAACUCCCUCUUCAUCUCUUUCUGCUUCUGAUUCCAAGGUUGUAGCAGAGAUGGAUGAAUCGAAGGCUAAAAGAAGCAAAUCAAAGGAAAUUAAUGGGGACGAAAAGGAUUCAACUAAGGUCAAUGAAGAAGAAAACUCAAACCAGAAACAGAAUAAGGAUAAUUCAAAGCCACCAGAGCCACUCAAGGACUAUAUCCAUGUCAGAGCCAGGAGGGGUCAGGCUACAGAUAGCCACAGCUUAGCUGAAAGA